AUUUGAACUCAUCUUCGCAUACCACGUGCUCUGCAAACUUGACGUGAAGUUUGUUCUCCGGACGGAAGAUUUGAACGUAUUGAGGAACGUUUGGUGCAAAAUCUUUCACUGCCCACGAUCUAUUAUCCAUCAUUCGAAUAUUGCGGUUUUGUCAGCGUAAUUCCUUGCAGCAAGAACGAAACAAGCCUCUGCCUCGUUCAUUCUUGCCCUGGUGAGAUCACUAUCCUUCAAACAGGAUCCUUGGAUAUAGAUUACCCUUUGUGCCCAAAUGGGCACUUGAAGAAUCAUUCUCAUCGUGGUGUCCAACUCCAUGGGUGACAACAAUACAACAAUUAUUUGUAUCGUUAUUAUAUUGAUUAUGUCUUAUGGAGCGUUCAAAUACUAUCGAGAACAUAUUAAACUUGAUUUUGUGAAUUUCGAAAAUGUUAAACAAAGAGGAGUGGAGAAAUUGAAAGAUAAAUAUUGGUGAAAAAUAAUUAUUACACGAUCAAAUUUCUCACCUGUAGAAGGGGAUGGGCGUAAAAUUCAUUUAGAAAAUCCAUGAUAGUGUCGGCUUGCAGCGUUGUACUGCAUACCACCACGUGUUUCUCGCUUUGCGCUCGGUGCGAGGAAUAUGAGCCACCUAGUUUUUGCCUUUCCAUCCACGUGAAUGCCAACUGCUCGAACUAUCGCAUAAAAAUAAAUGAUUUCUUCGUAUUGUUUAUUUAUUAGCCAUUUCUUUGUCAAAAUUGCUGUUUGUUUUUCGAAUUAGAUAAUAAAAUAAAGAUUUAUUAUUUUAUUUUAA